rnacentral:tmRNA from 1 species
GGGGGUGAAUGGAUUCGACUGGGAUGUUGAGGUAAGAGAAGCGAGUCGAGGUUCUAGUUCCUCGUAAAACCGCUAGAGCGUUUAAACUAAACGCCGAUAAUUACGCACUGGCUGCUUAAUAAAGCGGUCACGUCCCUUAAGAUUUGCUUACGGUCUUAGGUGUGGCGUCGCAAGUAAGCUACUUUAGCUCCUAUUCCUGUAAGAGUUAGGGGAACGUAACGGGAUAGCUUUCAAGAAAUCCUUGCUCAUUGGGUUCUUAAAGGCGAAAACUAAAAAUGAGCUACACUCGUAGAAGUCUUAUUAAGAUGUUUUAGGACCGGAGUUCGAUUCUCCGCACCUCCACCA